GAUCGAUUAGCUCAGUUGGUAGAGCGCUGCCUUGACUCNGCAGAGGUCACAAGUUCAAGUCUUGUAUCGAUCACCA
rnacentral:tRNA from 1 species